UUUUUUAAUGUCAUGGUCUCACUUUAAUGUAUGUCUACUCACAAAGGUAAAUAUUUCUUAUGUAUUGUUAAAGCCUUUUAUUUUCUGGCAGCGGGGAGGUGGUUAUUAUUUUUUGUAGAAACCAAGCAUCAUUAUUUUGCUCAGGCUGUGCUCAAACUCCUGGGCUCAAACAAUUGUUCUACCUUGUUCUCCUAAAGUGCUGGAAUUACAGGUGUAAGCCACUGCACCCAACCUGAUUCCCUGUUUAUUGAUGAUGAGUUAUGAUCAUUAUUGAUAAGUUAUUGAUAAGUUAAGAUAUGAUAGUUAUGAUAAUUGAAUGAUAUAUUUUCUUUUAUGUACUUUUUUUUUUUUUUUUUUUUAGAUGGAGCCUUGCUUUUGUCACCCAGGCUGGAAUGCAAUGGUGUGAACUCAGCUCACUGCAACUUCCAACUCCCGUGUUCAAGUGAUUCUCCUGCCUCAGCCUCCCAAGUAGCUGGGAUUACAGGUGCCCACCACCACACCCAGCUAAUUUUUAUAUUUUUAGUAGAGAUGGGGUUUCACCAUGUUGGCCAGACUUGUCUCAAACUCCUGACCUCAGAUGAUCUGCUUACCUUGGCCUCCCAAAUUGCUGGGAUUACAGGUGUGAGCCACUGUGUCCAGUCCUCUUAUAUACUUUUAAUCAGUACUAAUCUUUUGGUUAAUUAGAGUCCCAUUAUGUCAAGUACUCUACUACUCUGGAGUUGCAGAAAUAAUCAAAAUAGUCAUUGCAAAGAACUCAAUCUAGUUGGGGAAACAUACUGUGUUCAGAAUAUAUAUUUCAAUAGAAGUAUGGGCAGUAUUCCAGAAGUUUAGUAACAAGGGGUCUCUCAUUCAUCUGGAAGGGGUGGUGUUACCAGGAAACACUUCUGAAAAAGUCAGGAUUGAACCAGUUUUGAAGGACAAAAAAGAGUUAAUCAGGUGGAUGAGCCUAAGAACCUUCCAAGCAGAGAGAGCAACAUAAUUAGAGACAUGGAGGUAUGAGAAGAUGUGGAGCAUUUAAGAGGAUAACUUCCGGAGCCAGAUUGCCUAAACUCAGAUGCUGGCUACACUUUCUUAGCUUUGUAGCCUUGGGAAAGUUACUUAACCUUUUGAGCCUGAGUCUUGUCUAUAAAAUGAGAAUGAUAAUAAUAUCUGGCUCAUGGUGUUAUGACAACUAAUAAUGAGUUAAUAUGUGUAAAGCUCUUAAAUCAUUACCUGGCAUACAACAUACACAAAAUUUUAAAUUGUUUUCUGAUAUUUCUUUUUAAAAUCAAUUUUUUAUGUACUUUUUCUAUAUGAUUAAAAUCAUUUUAUUUUUUUAUAUAAUAAACUGUAAAUGAUAAGCUUUAAAGGAAGGUUUUUAAAAAUAUCUUAGUUCUAUUCCACAUGAAAUAGAUUUAUUAUCUUUUUUCUUUCUUGAAACAGAGUCUCACUCUGUCGCCCAGGCUGGAGUGCAGUGGUGCGAUCUCUGCUCACUGCAACCUCCGCCUCCCAGGUUCAAGUGAUUCUUCUGCCUCAGCCUCCCAAGUAGCUGGGACUAACAGGCAUCCACCACCAUGCCUGGCUAAUUACUUUUUUUAGUAGAGAUGGGGUUUCACCAUAUUGGCCAGGCUUGUCUUGAACUCCUGACCUUGUGAUCUGCCCGCCUCAGCCUCCCAAAGUGCUGGGAUUGCAGGCAUGAGCUACCACACCCGACCUAGAUUUAUUAUCUCUUAACUUGGUAGUCUACCAUGUACGUUUUCUUCUUUUGAUGGAAAUUGACUUAAGCAAUCUGGUUACUCUGUAAUUUCUCAUGUAUUCUGACAUAGUGAAAUGAAAUUGCAGGUGGAUCAUGGUAUGUUAACAUUGAUUAAGCUUAAUGACAUUUCUGUAGUAUUCCUUUUCAUAGCAUUUAUAUCUUCACUUACUUUAAAUUGAAAACUCAUAUUUGAAGUAGUCAUUUUAGUGAAAUGAUAAGGACUAAAAUGAGCCUUGAAUUGUCAACAAAAGUGUAAUUUGGAGACAUCCACUAAAUAGCUAUCUAUCAAUUGAAAAGAAAUUUCCGUAGGCAAGUUCAGUGAGUAGUAGUAUGGACAUGGUAAGUUUAUUUCUAAGUCACUUGUCUUUGUGACUUAGAAAUACAGUCUGUUUAUUGUUUCUGAAGGUUUUUUUGAAGACUGUAUUGUCCAUUGAUUGCUUGAAGUAUUAGGAGGAACUAUUUUUUUUUAGAGUUUUUGUGAACCCUGCUGAGGUCAGCCAGUGAUCACUUUUAUUUCCUUUACCUUUGGGGCCUGGAAUCUUGAGUCUUUUCACCAGAUGUGAGUAAAACUACAAGGAGGUUGAUUCAUGAAAUGCAUACUCAGCAGCUUACCAUUUAUAAGAUCCACACAUACAGUGUAUCUUUUCGAAUUCCAUCUUUUUGGGAAUUCCACCUUCAUUCCCUAGAUACAGUAUCUUUUUCCUUUUUUUUUUUUUUUUUGAGACGGAGUUUCGCUCUUGUUACCCAGGCUGGAGUGCAAUGGCAUGAUCUCAGCUCACCGCAACCUCUGCCUCCUGGGUUCAGGCUCUCCUGCCUCAGCCUCCCGAGUAGCCGGGAUUACAGGCACGCGCCACCACGCCUAGCUAAUUUUUUGUAUUUUUAGUAGAGAUGGGGUUUCACCAUGUUGACUGGGAUGGUCUUGAUAUCUUGACCACAUGAUCCACCCGCCUCAGCCUCCCAAAGUGCUGGGAUUACAGGCUUGAGCCACCGCGCCCAGCCCAUCUUUUUCCUUUAAACAAAACAAGAUGCUUACUGACAAAUUCUCACUUUGCUAAUUUACUUUUUCUAAAUUUUUAUUCUUCUGAUUUUUACCUCAUUGUAAUACAUGUUGAAUAUCCCUUCUCUGAAAUUCUUGAGACUAGAAGUGUUUCAGAUUUCAGAUUUUUUUGGAUUUUGGAAAAUUUCAUUAUACUUAGCAAGUAAUUGAGUACUCCUAAUCUGAAUACCUGAAAUCUGAAAUGCUCCAAUGAAUGUUUCCUUUGAGUGUCAUGUCAGAGCUCAAAAGUUUCAGAUUUUGGAGCAUUUUAGGUUUUAGAUUUUCAGAUUAGGGAUACUCCACCUAUACUUCCAUAAAAGCUUUGUAGUUGUAAUCUGUUUAUUGGAGUAUACUUUUCCGUUUAUUGUUUCCUAAAUAUCUCUAGAACAGUAGCUAAUCUUACAUGGAAUAUAUAGGUUAUUAGCCAUAAAUUUUAUCCACAUCGUUAGUUUCAUCAAGGAUGUUUGCUGUCAGACCUUUGUCUCUUUCACAGUUCACUGUAUCCUAAUGUCUAUUCUGAGACUUAGUGUCCUCUGUCAUUUUAUUAAAAGUACAAUUGAAAGUGGACCACAGAGGUAGAUAUGGAAGAGUUUGCACUUUCUUGUGUAAAUAAAUGCCUUUAGUCUUUUUGGAAAGUAGUGAGAUCAAUUAGUUGAGAUUAUAGUGCAAAACUCUAUUUGCCUCUUGUGUCAUAAAAUAGGAACUCAAUUUACUGAGAAAGCACAAACUUUCUUACCUGAGGUACAACAACAUUUAAGAUGCACUCCUUACCAAGUAGUUUUAAAGUGGAAAAUCAAGAGUUUUGAGAAUAUGGCUUAAUUUUUUUUUCUACAACCCUGUUGGUUCUUCUGUUUCAGACUUCAUAUUACAAUGGAGGUAUGUGAAAGCUGGCUUUGCAGUUAGAAAGCAUUAAUUUUUAACUCAAGCUCUGCCUUGUGAUCUUGGCCAAGUCACAACAGAAUCUCUGAACCUCACUUUCUUCAACUGUAAAAAAGAUGCUAAUAACCAUUCUUAGAAUUGUUGUGAAGAUUAAAUGAGAUAAUGAAUUUGGAGGUACUUAGUAAAUGUAAUAACAAGUUACAUUAUUUUGUACAAUGAUUAAUGUCAAUAUAAAGCAAGUCUACCCAAUACCAAGGAAUUGCCUAAUUGGGUUUUUAUGUUUGGUUGAUUGGUAGAUUGAUUGAUUAGGUUGGAUUUUUUCAGGCCUACUUUAUCAUGUUUUUAAUAGUCAGUCUUGCUGAGAUGUUAAUAGAUAUUACAUUGGAGAAAAUUGAUGAAAAUAGUAAACGUGAACACUUAUUUAAACAGAAAAUCUGAAGUUUUCUACCAGCAAAAUUACUCCUGGAACACAGUGUAAAUACAUUUAAAUCAGAUAGAUCAAACAAAUUUUUUCUGACUUGGAAUCUUAAGUUUAGAAACUUUAGGAAGUUGUUUUCCCAUAGUGAGUAUAGUGUGUCUAUGUAUGUAUGUGUAUAUAUAUAUAUAUGUACCUAGGGUAGUAUAUGUAUGCACUCAUUAAAGACUGGGAGUAUCUCUACUUAAUAUAUACAUAUAUAAAGUUCUAUAUUCUAAAUGUUGGGAAAUGACUUCAUACAGGUGUAUUAUUUGAUUUUCAAAUGAAUAUUUAUGUAAUAAACUACAACUGGACAUUUGUAUUUUAAGAUAUUGAAAUACAGGUAAAUCUCUUAGUUUUAAAUAAAUACUUCAGAAACAUAAUGUAUUAAAUUAUGAUGUACAUUUUUGAAAUAUUCAGAUUAAGUUCUCAUUAAGGAAAAACAUCAAGCAUUCUAAAAUUGGUCAAUAAUUUAGUUAACAUAAAUUACAACAGAAAUUGAGAUACAAGUAGGCUUUGGAAACCACCAGUUAAUCCUUUACUCCUCAUAGAAGAAAUGAAGGGAUAAAAAAAUAAUAAACUUGAUUACAUUUGGGUAAUUGCACCACUGUGUCAGUUAUUUUAUGCCCAAUAAAAGUACCCACUAAGAUUCCACAGCAUAAAUUGUGCUAUUUAUGAUCAUUAAAUACAGUUUAAAUUUUAUCCUAGGAACAUCUUCUGUAACUAUGAAUCUAAUGUUGUUCACUAAAUGGGGACAAUAUUGAUUGUCAUAUGCUACCCAAAUCGAUCAUGCCGGCAGCCAGAAUUACAGUAAUCUGUCUGUAUUGAUGACUGUCUUUCAAGCUUUGAAACCUCUCCUUCACUUCACUUGUUUCUUACAUUACUUGUACUGGAAAAGCAUUUUCUUACAACCUCUGAUUUUGUUGUCGGCUAGGUACUUUUUUUUUCAGGCAGGGGAGGGGUCUGGAGCUCAAUUUGUUAGUUUCAUCAUGCAAUUAGAAUUAAAAUGCAACACUGGGGAGGAAAACCAAGCAGAUUCUGUGUAACCAUUGGACCAGAGGUAUUUCAGCUUUAAUUGUAGCCAUCAUUUAUUAGUUACCGGAUGAAAGAGUGUUCUUGGUUUUUUGUUUCUGUUUUUUACAGUGGCAAUAAUAAUUCCAAAUUACUAAUUUCAUGACCUCAGCCAUCACGUUCUAUUUCUUAAAUAAAAUUUUUAAAGCAAUUGUUUGUUUUGAUCCUAAAGACAUUUUGACUUUGACUUCUGAAUAUACAAAUGUUAAAUAUGAUACUUUUAGGUGCAUACUGUUUCUUUUAUAAGUGAGAGUUACUAUACAUAGAAAUUUGCAGAAGUUACAAUAUAAAAUCAUGUUAUAGUGAGGGUUCUCAGAGAAACAGAACCAAUAGGAUGUAUAUAAACAGGAAGAGAAAAGAGAUUUGUUUUAAGGAAUUUGUCAUGUAGUUGUGGGGGCUGGCAAGUUCAAAAUCUGUAGGAAACUCAGGGAAGAAUUGAUGUUGCAGUCUGAGUCUGAAGGCAGAAUUCUGUCCUUCCUCAGAGGACUCUGUGUUUUCUCUUAAAGUCUUUAACUAACUGAAUGAGGCUCACCCACAUUAUAGAGGAUAAUCUGCUUUACCCAAAGUCUACUGAUUUAAAUGGUAUUCAAAUCUAAAAUAUAACUGUAUAAAUAUAACAAUAUUAUAACUGUAUAAAUAUAACAAUAUACAGUAAUUAUAAGAGUAUAUGUUAUAUAUUAUAUUAAUAUUAUAAAAUAUAACAGUAAAAUCUAGACUGGUGUUUGACCAAAAACUAGGUCCCAUGACCCAGCCAAGUUUACAUAAAAUAACCAACAUAUCCUAUUUUUCUUGUUUUCUUUUUAUCCCUAUUACAAAUUAUAAUUUGAGAAAAGUACAUACAUCAUAAAUGUACUAUGUAAUGAUUAUUACAGUUUAAUCAUCAACAAGUCAAGAAAUAGAAUUGUACUAUUUUUCUUUCUUCAAAAAUAGGUAUUGAUCACUUACACAGUUAGCAAAGAUUUUGAGAGGGAUGCAAAGACAAAUCAGAUCAUAAUCCUGUCCUCAUAUGCUUAUAAUGUAACAAGGAGAGAAUAAUAUAUACAUUACUAAUUAUAAUAGAAGAUUAAGUGAAAAUGUCCUGGUAGGGUUAUAGAUAAAAUGCUGUAAGAGUUCCAAGGAAGAAGAAAUUACUUUGGAGUCAGAAGAUCAGGAAAGAAUGUUUAGAAAAUUUGGGCCUCAAAAGGUGGGCUUUGAAUAGAUGGAAUGCAACAUGUCUGUUAUAAUUCUUGUAAUUUAUAGUCUUCAGGUUUUGUAUGUAUGCAUAUAUGCAUAUUGUAUAAGUAUAAUCUUAAAUAUACAGUAUGGGGAAUAUUAUAUAAUUAAAUGGCAUUUUAAAAGAACACUUUAUUUCUAGAUUUAGAUAUUCUUUCCUACCACAACUAGUAUUAUUUGAUUUCUUCUAAUCUGUUUAGAUUUGAUUUUUUCUUAAAUACCAGAAUUGGGUUUCUAUUUAACUUGAUCAGGCAGAUUACCAGAAGUCAAUUAUUAUUCUUCAAUUAGUCACAGUUUGUUAUCCCUCAAGUUCUCCUACUCAAAUAUGCAGUACCUGUUGUAAAAGUAGGAGAACCAAAACUAAGUGGAAUGGAAUUGAUUGAUUCUACUAAUGCAGUUGCCUUUCAUUAUGAUAAAACAUUAUAAAACCUCUUAGGAGAGUCUGUCAAUAUUGUUGCCAUUUUACGUUAGAAGAAAAUGAGUUUAUUGAGAAACUUUAUAAUUUUAUAUAUCCACAAUCUUUUGUAGAUUAUUUUCUCAGAAGAUAACAUCAAUUAAGUAUGGGUUAUCCUUAAUUUCACAUGUAAAAAGAGGAUAAUAGUACCAAAUUCGGGAUGUUUAAGAAUUAAGUGAAAUUAUCUACAUGAAACACUAAGUAACCUGUCUGUCAUAUAGCAAGAGCUCAGAAAAUGGUAGUUACAUGGGAGUUAAUGAUGCUGUCAUUAACACUUGGGAUAUUCUUCUAAAAUGCAAACCUAAGUACAGACAGUCCCCAAUUUAGGAUGGUUCAGCUUUAUGAUGGUACAAAAGCAAUAUUUGGUAGAACUCUUACUUAGAAUUUUGAAUUUUGAUUCAAAAAUUUUUAUAAUAACUUUAUUUAAAAAUAGGCUUUGGGCUGGGCAUGGUGGCUCACACCUGUAAUCCCAGCACUUUGGGAGGCUGAGGCAGGCGGAUCACCUGAGGUCAGGAGUUCGAGACCAGCCAGACCAACAUGGUGAAACUCCAUCUCUACUGAAAAUACAAAAAUUAGCCAGAUGUGGUGGCGCAUGCCUGUAAUCUCAGCUACUUGGGAGGUUGAGGCAGGAGAAUUGCUUGAACCUGGGAGGCACAGGUUGCACUGAGCCAAGAUAACACCAUUGCACUCAAGCCUGGGCAACAAGAGUGACACUUCAUUUCAAAAAAAAAACAAUAGGCUUUACAUUAGAUGAUUUUGCCCAACUGUAGGGUAAUGUAAAUGUUCCAAGUACAUUUAAAGUAGGACAUAAGGUUAUAUCCUUAUAACUAGGAUAAGUUGUACUGUUAAGUAAGUUAGGUAUAUUAAAUAAAUUUUCAAUUUAUAAUGAGUAUUUUGGGAUGUAACCCAAUCGUAAGUCAAGAAGCAUCUGUAUACUAAAAGACUUAACGAUGGCUUUUAAUUGCUUAUUGAAACAAGUCUAAAUUUUUUGAUGACCUGGAAGCAAUUCUUUUUAUUUUACCACGCCCCCCCCAGCCUUAUAUUUCUUACUGCAGUUUUGUCAAAUAUACCGGUACUUCUCCCCAGCUCCAUCUCUCAUCUUUACCCUCAUCUCCUAACACACUGAUGCCCAGGGCACACUAUGUGUCCAGCUAAGUCAUAUUCAUUAUUCCCGAAUGCCCUUCUUUUUCAGUCCCAUGUUGUUACUUCAAUAAUGCCCAUCUCUACUUUUUUCCACCUAACAUACUCAUUAUUCAUAACCCAAAUACCCUUUGUUUAAGAAAAAAAAAACCUCCUUUAAUGCAAAACUAUUGUUUACACUGCCUCAAAACAUUUUGUUACAGUGCUUAACGGUGUAUAUACAUAUUAGCAAGUCUUACUUAUCCUUCUUGUUUCACUAACUUCCAGCACAGUGCCUAGCCUAUGGUAGAUGGCUAGUAAAUUAUUUUAAGUAUCUAUGCUUUUGAAGUUUAUAUUUAUUAUCAUGGAUUUUUUUUAAGAAUGGAAAACCCCCAAAUAUUUUUUGUAGUAACUUAUACUUUGUGAUUUGUAUUAGAAUAGGCUACAAAUCUUAAGAGUUGGCUGGGUAGGUAAGAAGAAAAAACCUAGGAUCAGUGAAAAUUGCCACUGAUACGUGAAUAAGCCAGACUAGCACACACAUAAAGGUUUUUUUUAUUUUGACUGCUUAAUCAGUAGUAUAUUUUUUAUUAGAGGCCAUUACUGAAGAUAAUUUUCAGGUAUCAUUCAUUAAUGGAGGUUUUUCACUUCAUUUGGGGUUGGGAGAUCUCUUAGGGAGAAAAAUGAGCUAAGAAACCUCUGACUUGAUGGCAGUGACAGAUGGCGUGGGGAGGAUACAUCUUGGUGUCCCCUGCAAGGAGACAGCUUGAGGCUGAGCCCUGAAGGCUGACACUUCUUGCUGUAAGGCAAGGGAAGUGGUAGCAACAGAAGAGCAGUAGGGGGCAGCAAUGGGAGUCUAGAUGCUGAUAAGGUUUCCAAUUUUGCUGCUUCAACAUUUGUACCAACUACAUUAGCGAUUCCAUUAGGAGCUCUCAAAAUUUUGUGCCAUUUGUUCUUCAUGCUUUCUGUGACGGUCUUAAAUAUCGUAGACAAAUUGAUUAGUUGUUAAAUCAAAUUGAUUAGUUGUUAAAUCAACUAAGAUCUAUAGUUAUGGUCAUUUUAUGGUCAUUCAUUCUCUGCAAAAGAAGAGAAGAUAGUUCUUCAAAUAAAAUGUCUCAUCAGCUAAGUGAUCCAGGUUUUGUGGUCUUUGAAAUGCUCACAGCCAUUGUGCCACUGGUAUUAACCAUUGCAGUAAGAUCUCUAAGAGCAAACAUUCUUCUUUACCUAACAAUCUGCUCUGUAAUUAGAGGAUUAAAAUCUCCUGUAUUCAGCCAGCCACAGUGGCUCUCACCUAUAAUACCAGCACUUUGGGACCUCAAGGCGAGCAGAUCACUUGAGGCCAGGAGUUCAAGACAAGCCUGGCCUACAUAGUGAAACCCCAUCUCUAUUAAAAAUACAAAAAAUUAGCCAGGCAUGAUGGCCCACCCCUGUAAUCCCAGCUACUUAGGAGGCUUGAGUCAUGAGAAUUGCUUGAACCCAGAGGCGGAGGUUGCAGUGAGCCCAGAUUGUGCGACUGCACUCCAGCCUGAGCAACAGAGUAAGAGUCUGUCUCAAAAAAAAAAAAAAUACUUUUGUAUUAAAAUUACAAUUUUACAAUUGAAGAAUUUUUUGCUGUGCUUAAACAUCUUCUUGGCCUGGAUUUUGCUGCCAAGCCUUGUAGUCUUUGUAGUCUGUGUACACAGAGUAAUUAUUUAAACAGGGGCCCUAUAUAUGUGACACACUUCUACAAUGACUCUAAUAUAUGUUUGAUUAUGUCAGUUUUAAUUUGUUUAGCUAUUCUUUUCACAAAAUGGCAGUAUAUGCCUGUCAAUGAUGUUACUGUAUUUCAAAGGUACUACAUAUCUUUAAGGAUGGUAGUUUUGGUCUAGCAAAUCCAUGUCCUUUCAAAAAGCAGUAAAUGUGAAUCUCUGAUGUGUAACAACUUUGUGAUAAUAAUAAAGAAAGUUUACUCUGUAUGAAAUAGCAUUAUAUCUUAAUGUUCUCUAGAGACAGUCUUUAAGGUUUUACUACUAUUGACCAAUAAUUACUGUGAGAGCUCACAAAAAAUGACUUUAGUACAUGGCCAGUUUCUAUGUCUGUUAACAUUGUUUUAAUACUAGAGAUAUUUUCAAUUUUCAUCUUCUACCAAAAACUUAAUGCACUAAUGAUAAACUUAAGCAGUUUAGGAUCUUUCAUUUAUUGGAGCAUACAAUCUGGGGCCGGAUGGGAAGAGAGCUCCAUGAAUGUAUGAAUGCAGUGCACUCUUACCAGAGUCCAGCAAUAGUGAUAUAUACCAAGAAGGAUGGUAAAGGUGAUUAAUUUUAAGUGGGAGAGGAUAGUAGCAUGAGAGGAUGCAUAUUAGAGGAAUGGCUUUAUCAUGGAAGAAUUCUAAUACUUCAAAGACACCUGGGACUUUUCCAGGCAGACAUGGUCAGGGAAGAGUUUUCUAGGGGUAAGAAGUGGCCAUGGAGGCAUAAAAGUAUGGUACAGUCAACAAAUAAAAGGAGUUCAGUACUACUGGACGAUAUAAAAGGAAAAGUAGUGACAGAUAAAGAUCAAGAAAUAGGUCAAAACCAGAUAAUGUAGUCAAGCAGAAAGAAAAUCGGCAUAAAUUUCUAAUGGUUUUCUAAUGCUGUUGAUGAUUUUAUGGCAGCCAGUGUCUAAGGUUCUUCUGCUUUUGUGUGUUUUUUACUUUUUCACUAGCAGAACAGUUACAGUUUGAAUUUCUUAUUUUUCAUUUUCUAGCAAAGCCUUUCCAAAAUGUUUAUUGAUCAUUAUUUUCAUAAAGUCUUUAUGAUAAUUAGUUAAGCAAUAAUUGCCAGGCUAAUAGCACUAAUAGCCAGUGUUACUUUUCUUAAUGAGACUAAAAAGGUCUCUAAAUAUUUGGUAAUAUUUAUACAUAUGUAUCAUUUUUUAAAGAGCAUCUGAGAUUUUCAUAUUUCUUAUGAUAGACUCAUGAUAGACUUUAUUCUUGCACAACAAUUCUUUAAACUUUACCUAUGAGAUACUUUUAUACAAUUAUUGUCUUUAUACCUUAUUAUAGUUUUACAUGUUAUUGAUGAAUAAAAUACUUUUGUCCUAGUCUUAUAAUACAUUGGCUUCAUGGCAACAACAACAACAACAAAAAUACCAAAAGAAAGCAUUACCACCAUCUUAGCUGUUUUGUCAAAUUUAGAUGCCAGUCUGGACAGGUGGGUCAUAUCACAGUGAAGGAGAAGAACUAGAACUCAUCAGGGCAUGGACAAACUGCAGUAUUCCCUAAAAACAACCAUACUUGAAGUUUGUUUCUAUCUUUAUCAACUCCUCACCUAUGCUGGAAUAGGGAUUUUUUUUUUCCUGUGUUAAAACCCUGUGAUGUUGCAGUUAGUGAUGAUUGUGCACUGCUCUACUCACAUCAUUAUUCACCACACAUACUACAUAAUGUACUAGUUUUAUUGUGGUCUUUGUUUAAAUAUGAAAACAACUAUAGAUUCAGAUGCUGUUUGGGGAUUUCAAAGAGCAAAGAAAAAAUGGAUAUAAAGCUGAAAUUGGUCUUUAAACAUGUUUGACAGGAAUUGAAGUGCUUUUCAUUCAUUCUUUUCAUUGACUAAACAUAGGCCUUUUGAUAUUAAAUUUUUUAUAACAAUAAUGGAAUUAAAAUUAAACUAUGGGUCACAAAUCUAUCCAUUUUUUCUAACUGCUGUUUCUCUCAAACACUAGAAUACUGCCUAUUUAAAUCUUGACUUUUGCUUGCCAAACCACUGUUACCGUCCAUCUGUUCAUGCCAAUUGUAAAGAAGGUUCAGUUUUUAGUGAAGCUUUGCUUUUCACAUAAGGUAUGUGAAGUGAAAUUUCACAAGGGACAUGAUGGAUCCUGAUUCUUAGUGAUAAACCUUUGGGGCCAUCAGGGUUGGCAUAUGGUCCAGUAUGAUAUGAAGGCUUGGGUUCCCUGGCUUCACUUCUUUGGCGUGAAGCUGAUAAAACCUGGCUGUUGAGUAUUAUUUCACUGGACACCAAUCACGGGCAGCAGGAACUGCCCAUUUAACUCUCUGUGGGAAGGAAGCCCAGAGAGCAUUCACAAUGGUACCAUUGUUGAGUUGCAAACUGCUCUGAACAGCUUGACAGCACUAGGGAGGAGGGGAAGGGGUUGCUUUACUAAUUGCUGUUCAGAAGAGUAGAAGCAAAAAUAGCUGUUGCAGAACUGAUGUUUCUACAUUUACUUACUCUCUUGAUAAGAUUGUUGACUUUUAUUUAGCACAUAGCUGCUAUCAAAAAAGAAAGCAAAUGAAUAUAUUUAAGCAGCCACCUGUAGUAAUUCCUUGUUAACAUGCCAUUAUCUAUUUUUAGCCCAUCAGAUUAUUGCAGAGCAAAAGUCAGUUUUGCCUUAUGAUUUUUUUAUUAGAUGAAAAUAAGAAGUUUUUUUAUUUUCAUAAGAAUUUAACUGAGGUGAAGUGGAUAAAAUUAUCACAAUUCAUAUGGCAGAUAAGGUUGUAAAUUUGGUUUAAUUUAUACUUUGCUUUUUAGGAUUCCUGAAUACCAUCUGAAUACGUAUAAACCAUAUUAGUAUAGAAAUGUAAAUUAACUUUCUACAUAGCACAAGUGCUAAAAUAAUCCACUAAAGAUAAAUUAGUCAGCACAUCUUAAGGUUAAAUGCCAGAUUUAUUAUUUGAGUAGCUCAUAACUAUUUCAGUCAUGUAUGAUUGCCUCACUCAUUGAAUUCCCUCUGGUUGGAUUUUUUUUUUAAUGUGAGGGUUUCCUUUUUUAUGAAGUAUUGUAUGCUCUGAUAUUUAUAUAAACACUCCUCUUGACCUUUCUGUUUUCUUCUAGUCAGCUUUGUCAGCAAGCAGUUGGGUAGUUCUGUUGCAAAGAAACAAUGAUCUACAACCUAAAAAAAAAUUAGUCCUUAUUUUCGGACUCCAGGGAUUCUGACUCCAUAGAUGAUUUUUUUUUUCAGCCGAAAUGAAGUUGACUAAAUUAUAUUGCAGUAACAAUAAUUUAUGUAGCAUGUUCUUAAAUAGAAUAAGGAAGAGAUAUUUUAAGAAAACUUUUAAAUCAGUAAAGUUUUGCAAUCUCUUGCUAGAUUUGGAGAAGUUCAAGUGCAUGUUUUGUAAAAUUAGAAAAUCUGUAAAAUUUACUAGUAUUUCAUAUCCUGUGUUCUCUUAAGUAAUUUUAGUAAAUGGGCACCAGUGCAGUAUUUCAAAAACAGUAAUUCAUUGAAUGCCCAUUCUUCCUUUUACUGCAGAAUAGAUUAUAUUUAAGUCAAGAUUAAUGGAUAGAUUUUGAUGUUAAAGUCCAGUGUCUAAGCCUGUCAUUCCCUGGGGGCAUAUAGUGCAUUAGUUUAAGCCAGUGUACUGCUUAUCAUAGAUUCUAUGACACUGUCUUAAAUGACAGUUUACUGUACUUUGUUUCUACUUACUAUGAUAAUGAAAUCACUUUUUUUGUAUUCCCAAUAAUUAUAGCACUUAAACAAAAAUCUUAAUUAAAUUAGUGCACAUUUAGGUAAAGAUAACAUUUAAGUAAUUGUACACUGUAAAAUUUCACUUAUUUGGUUUUUCUUGUUUUUUUUUUUUCUUUUUGCAGUCUUCUGACAGGGUCCAAGUUUAGUAUUUUGCUCAAAUACAUUUGUUUCUUCAACUUUAAUGUACUAAAAAUUGUGUUCUCAAAAAGAACAACACACAAGAUUGUUUCUAGUAUCCUCCCAAUGUUUUUUAAACUCUUUUUAAACUCUUACUCUAAUACUAGGGAUUUUCAAGCAGUUCUCUGUUGACUUUGAAAGUCUCAUUAUUACUAAAUUAAUGAUAAUGUUUUCAAGUAGAUCUUUCCAAGAAUGAGAGUACAUUAUAAUUUCACUAAAUUUGAAAUCCAGAUAACCUAGUGUUUCUGUUUUGCUUCAUAAAACUUUCAUGAAAGUAGAAUGUGUGUGUGUGUAUAUGUGUAUAUAUAUAUACACACACACACAGAUACUGGAUAAUCAUAUUAGGGCUUUUUGAAGCCCACCAAUGAUUAUUGGAUUAUUAAAUCAGGAAGGAUUUUCAGAGCCCUUAAGGUAGGUUUAAAUUUUUAAGCCUAUUUAUUUAAGGUUAAUCUUUUUAAAUGUAUUUACACAAACUUUGGUGGAAUUGGGCUUAUCAACUUUUUACUUAAUGUUUUCAUUUAGUAAUUGACUGAUUUAUGAGCAAUUAUAUGUGGUCCAAAUUUUAUUCAACUCUAGCUUUCAAUUUCUGUAUCCUCACACUGCCUUAGCACCUGUUAUGGAUUUUGAGUCAUCUGGCAGCCCAUGGGACUUAGAUAAAGAAGUACCAGGUGUCCUGCCUGUCUCCUAAUUGAGACGCAGUGAAAACAAUAUAGACUUGGCAAUAUGGUUAAAAGGAUGGAUUAAAGCCCAGCUUUGUCUUUUCUGACAAAUCACAGCUUUUCCUUCAUGGUGUAGAUAGUAUCAACCACUGAAGAAUUUCAUGAAUAUAAGGCAUCAUAAAAAUAGAUGAUAAUUUGUCAUAACCUGUUGCAGACUUUCAGAAGAAUUUUUAUUAACAUAGUGUAAAUAAGCAAUAAUAAUAACGAGAUUCAUGCUAUUUGUUUAGGGGAAUUUUAUUUUUUACUACAUAUGAACUAGACUGCAUGUUUCUGGAAGAAGUUAGUUACAGUAGGAAAGAAAUGGAAUAUCCUUCCCUCUGCCAGAUCUUAAUUUAUCAGAUCUUGCUUUAUAAGAGAGGGCCAGCAAGAUCAAAGGGCACAGUAGAACAAAAAUUUUUUUCACAAGAAAGAUUCAAACUCUAAAUCCAGUCCUAGGAAAGUUUCAACUACAUUUGCCCCAAAAAGGUUUGCCUUUAUGGAACCAUAUUGGGAUUAGAGGAAAGGGGCGUCAGUGUGACAGACACCUCCUAAUCUACUAUCAAACCAACUUUACUCACUCCUUCUAGAAGUUGUAAGCAAGUCAUUGAAUAUGACUGUGCCCUGUGUUGGGUGCUGAAGACGUAAAGAUAAGAAGACAUGGUCUCUGUCCCCAUGGCAUUUGUCUCAUCACUAGUCUGUAAACCACAAAAUGGACAAUUAAAAUUUCAAUAACAAAAGUAGAAUGCCUGGAUUACUAGUCUCUAAAGUGAAGUAGAGCAUUGAAGGACCACCAAAUCUGCCCCCAAGAAUCAGGGACAAAACUGUUUCUUAAGAAAGCGUACUUAGUGGAAGAACAAGCCUAAGGAAAGAGGCUCUCUAAAGGGGGCCUGGGAGGUGGGUGAUUUGCAGCAAAUCUUCAAGACGUGUGAUUUGGAAACUUACCAUAGCCAGUUUCAGGCUACCAACCUUACAAACUUUGUAAGUAUUGAAUAAUUGACUCUGAUCUGCUCAACUUAAGUAGUACUUAGAUUUCAGCUACUUAAGUUACAUCUCAAUUAUGACUUAAGUUGUACUCUCAAAAAAAUUUUUUUUAAUCAGUAGGCAACAUUUCUAAGUAAUUAUUGGAAUGCUUCCUCCUCGUAUGAUUACUAUUCUUGGAAUCUUCUCUAGAGAAAGGAGAUAAAAUUUCUAAGUGCUAAAACUGCAAAGAAGCUAUAGAAAUGUAUAAGUGUAGGGAAGUGCUUACUAAAUUAAGAAUUUCAGAAUGGGCCUUAAAUCCCUGAGACUAGGCCAUUGAGCACAGAUAUAAACACUUUAUACUUGCCUUUAUUUUAAAAGCAGUCAAUUAUUUUUUCUUGUUAAGGAAAUACAACAUGAAACCUGAACUUAAGAGGAAAAUAAGCAAUUAUGCAAAUCUUUGAUAUCUGCUUACAAGUUGUAAUUUUUAUAAUUUCUUUUUGUGAAAAUUAUACUUUGUAUUAAUUCUUGUGUGUAACAUGUGUAUACACAAAUUUACACACACACAUUUUCAUUUCUUUCAGACUAGUCACAAAUUACAUUUGAACUAAAUGUUUCUACAACCUACUGGUUGUCCAAUGGAAUUACAAAACUGAAGGCUUCCCCUUUUCUAACAGUACAAGCAGUUCAGAAUUACCAGAUUAAUAAAAUUGUGGAGAAUGAAAAGCAUUGCUUCUUUAAAACCAGAUCUACUUUUAUAUAUUCUUCUAUAUGUUAAUUAAGUUGAUAGUGCAUAAUGUUCUGCAGUAUCUUUCAUGAGAAAUCAGUUCCUUGCAUCAGAAUAAGUCUGUACAUGUAACAAGAAAUAUUAGUGGUAUUAUUUUGUUUUAUUAGUGGUAUUAUCAAAGAAUUCUUGCACAUAAUAGAGGCUUAUUUCUUAAACUGACAUCAAAAAUUGUCCUUCUAGAGACAGCACCUGCUAUGUACAAA